rnacentral:misc_RNA from 1 species
CUCAUCCCAUUCACCCACAGAAUCUGCUUCGCUACUCUCAACUGGUACUCACCUUUCUCCUUCACAAACACUGCUUGUGUUAUCUGAGAAUUUGUGGUUCCAGACAUUUGGUUUCCUUCUCCAUUCUGAUUAGGAGGGGAAGCCUCUGCCUUCACCGCUAGAGGAUAGAUAUCCAUCUCACCCUCUUUCAUUAAUUCACUCUCCUCAAAAACUGAGAAAUCAAUCCCAGUCCCAGAAGGCUGCCUGAAUUGCUGGCCAAGACCUUGUUGGAAAUUUACUGUCACUGGCGGAAGAAGGUUUUCCUUCAUUGGUGUCAGAAUACAAUCCGCACUUUCUUUUGCAAAGAAAAUAACAGUGAUGCUUCCAGCAACAGUAGCAUCAAACGUGAAAGCAACAAGAAACCUUCCAGGGUUCUCCUCGUCCGGCUCGAGCCUCACACUUUCCUUCUUCAAGUUAACAUCGUUUCUUAUUGUAACAGUCUUCUGGUGCUCCACGUAAGGCGCCGGUGGAGCCAUCAUAGGCCCACACUGGUACCUUCCGCCAACCCAGUGCGCAGGGUCAACGCGGUGAUGAUGAUCAUAAGGAGCCGGUGGCGGCUGAUGAUAGUACCCCGGGUACUGGUAGUACGGUGGUGGAUUAGGAUUGGGGUAUUGCGAGGGGUAAGGAGUGGCCACAGUAAAUACGUACCUGUUAGCGGUGAUUUCCGGCUGUGGAGCGGCUGUUGGAGGCGGAGGCGGAUGGUUACGGCGACUACCAUGCCUCCGGCGCCCGUGGCCACCGCUGCUACCAAUAUUUCCCAUGAGGGAUGCCCGUUACAAAACAGAAAACGGAAUUGGGAAUUCCAGUUCUGUAUGAAUUGUAACAAAGAAAGAAAGUGGAUCUGGAGCAAGAACAACGAUUUUCCAAGAAAACAAAGAAACGGAAGGAAAAGCUUUCCUCGCCGGCAAAGAAAGGAGAGAGAAGGGAAAUGA